CAACUACUCCCUCCAUCCCAAAAUUCUGGUCUUAGAUUUGUCUAGAUACGGAUGUAUCUAAUACUAAAAUGUGACUUGAUACAUCCUUAUCUAGACAAAUCUAAGACAAGAAUUUUGGGACAAAGGGAGUACUUU
rnacentral:pre_miRNA from 1 species